CCUGGUAGCUUAGAGGAUAAAGCGUCUGCCUGCAAUGCAGGAGACCUGGGUUCAAUCCCUGGGUCAGGA
rnacentral:tRNA from 1 species